ACGCUCGACACCUACGUGAGGCAGCAGUGGGGAAUAUUGCACAAUGGGGGAAACCCUGAUGCAGCGACGCCGCGUGAGCGAAGAAGUAUUUCGGUAUGUAAAGCUCUAUCAGCAGGGAAGAAACUGACGGUACCUGACUAAGAAGCACCGGCUAAAUACGUGCCCGCAGCCGCGGUAAUCUGAGCGGGCUGGCAAGGC
rnacentral:rRNA from 1 species